AACGACUCUCGGCAACGGAUAUCCCGGCUCUCGCAUCGAUGAAGAACGUAGCGAAAUGCGAUACUUGGUGUGAAUUGCAGAAUCCCGUGAACCAUCGAGUCUUUGAACGCAAGUUGCGCCCGAAGUCACUAGGCUGAGGGCACGCCUGCCUGGGUGUCACGC
rnacentral:rRNA from 1 species